rnacentral:misc_RNA from 1 species
GGAAGUAAAAGUCGUAACAGGGUUUCCGUAGGUGAACCUGCGGAAGGAUCAUUAUUGUAUAACCGAGGUGCGAGGGCUGUCGCUGACCCGAAAGGUCGUGCACGCCCGAGUGCCCUCACACACAUCCAUCUCACCCCUAUGUGCACCACCGCGUGGGUCCCCCUUUGGCUUGUUCGGAGGGGGGCUUACGUUUUCACACAAACUUUGUAUGCAGUGUAGAAUGUAUUUUUUGUUUUUGCGAUCACGCAAUCAAUACAACUUUCAACAACGGAUCUCCUGGCUCUC